rnacentral:rRNA from 1 species
UGAGGGAUAUUGGUCAAUGGGCGCAAGCCUGAACCAGCGACGCCGCGUGGGUGAAGAAGGUCUUCGGAUCGUAAAGCCCUUUUCCCACUGAAGAGGAAGGACGGUAGGUGGGGAAGAGGUCUCGGCUAACUACGUGCCAGCAGCCGCGGUAAAACGUAGGAGACAAGCGUUAUCCGGAGUUACUGGGCGUAAAGGGCGUGCAGGUGGCGUCUUAAGUCUGUUGUGAAAGCGCCUGGCUUAACCGGGCGAGGCCAAUGGAGACUGAGAGGCUGGAGGACGGCGGAGNGGUGUGGAAUUCCGGGUGUAGUGGUGAAAUGCGUAGAGAUCCGGAGGAACACCAGAGGCGAAGGCGGCACUCUAAGCCGUACCUGACACUGAGACGCGACAGCACGGGGAGCAAACG